CCAUUUCUUCCCCCUUCUCAUCUCCUCGUUUUUCUCCCUGAUAACCCCUUGAUUCUUUCCUUAAUUUUCUCUUCUGAACACUCCUCUUGGAGUCCAUCUUCACGCCAUUCUAACCUUCUAGAAGGCCAAAAUUAAACUUCUAAAAACACUAAGCUAGGAUUCAAAUCUCAAAUCUCCUUGCUAGCCACUAAUGCCACCUCCCUACACCCUAAGUGGCGUCACUUAGCCACUCCUCCACAA
rnacentral:lncRNA from 1 species